GAGAUCCCUGCUUAUGUGAGUCCUUCUGAAGUGAUUAACAAAAUCCAGGACAUGCACUGUACUCCAUCCCACACUGCCUCCAUGGAGCAUAUACCCACAUGAUACUGAAGGGCGCCUCAACUGGUUCUUAGUUGCACCAACUUCACCAUUCUCCUUAUCCACAAAGAUCAGCGUUGACAUCUCUGGGCUGAUGAGACCACCCUGGAAAGGCAUACAGAAAAUCUAGGCAGUUCUUGCUAACAGAAACAGCAAGUGUUUGAAUUGCCACGUGCUGGCACGUGAAGAGAAUGCAGCAAGCCGUACUUCAUGCCACAGCAGUUUAGCUACAGACUAUCGGCCCUGGAUACACCGAUACCCGGACCCAUGGAGCUCACGUGGGUUUGAGAAAGACUCAAGGUCUCACCGCAAUCCUGCGCGUUUGCUGCUUCACUUCUCUCCAGCGCUCAGUGUUGCUCACUGCAGGAAGCCUAGGCUGGCGAUCCGACUCGCAACGCGAGCAGCCAGCGGUCACAGGGGGCCUCUUCCCCCAGGGCAGAAGAAUCGCGAGCAGCCAAGAAAGAACUCCCUGCGGGAAGCCGCACACUUACCUGCGGUGAGAGCCGGACGGGAACAGGAGAGAGAGGACAGCGCGGAGCGGGCGGGAGCGGCUCAGAGCGCGGACAGAGAAAAGUACAAACAGCGCCCUGCCGCCACCGGCCCCUACAGCCCUUCCGCUCCUCCCAUUGGCUGUUUCGACUAACGCUCAGGCAUCCGAUUGGCUCAGCGCCGUCGGGGCGACGGCGGGACUGCUGGGUUCCGGUGCCUCGUUGCCGUGGUGACUGCGUGA